rnacentral:rRNA from 1 species
GGCCGUUAAUAAGCCCUGUAGUUGAUUUCUGGAGUAAUCACAGCUGCUUAUUGCAGUUUGUGCAUCUACUUCAUCCUUCUGUUAACGCACGUGGUCUUCGGAUUACGUACGAGCUCAGAUAUUUUACCUUGAGAAAAUUAAAGUGUUUCAGGCAGGCUAGGCCAGAAUACAAAAGCAUGGAAUAAUGGAAUUGACACAAGUCUGUGGUUGACAGAUGAGUGUAAUGGUUAAUAGGAACAGUGGGGGCAUUAGUAUUUAAUUGUCAGAGGUGAAAUCUUGGAUUUGUAAAGACUAACUAAGCGAAAGCUUC